UAUCGAAACGGGACUCCAACUCCAGGAGCUCCCGUCGUCGGGAGAUGACCUUCCCGGCCUGAUGAGAUAGGUUACU
rnacentral:hammerhead_ribozyme from 1 species